CCCAAGCUUUUACACAUUCUCUGUGUAUUAUACAAAUCAUAGCCUACCCUGUUUCACCGACUCUCAUCUUCGUCUUCAAGGUUGCUCAAAAGUUAUCAGGAUUUUAUUUUUUAAUGAUUGGGGCUUGUAGAUGAGGUAGGCUCUUCAAUUAAGAUUUUGAUUGGGUCUGUUUCAAUUAGGGAUCCAUGAAACAAAUUGAAUUAGGGCUUUUCAAACCGUACACCGAGUAUACUCCUCCAAACCUCUCUGGACUCUAAACCCACUCUCUCAACUCUCACCCUCAGUUCAGAUAUUAACUCUCACCGCUCCCUCUUGACUCUCACCCUCAGCUCAACUCUCGACUCAUAUCCUCAGCUCAGUUGUCUAUCUAAUUGAAGGUGAUUAGGAUUGUUUCUAGCGGCUUGAAAUUGGGGAUUUCACACGGGAUUUUAAUUGGGAUUUUCAAUCAAGUUUCAGGCUGGCUUUUCGGAUCUCCCCAUAUUCAGGGCAAUUCUUGUUGGUCCUCAUGUGACCAAGCUAGAAGAUAAUAAAUUUAAUAAUAAAAUUAUAAUUUUGUGCUGAAAUAUAUUGAAGUUUUGUGCAGGAAAACACACUUGACUGCAAGCUCCACAUGCAGAAUUAUCUCUUGAUGAUUUCUUUUCCUGCAGAGUCUGGUGAAGACAAUAUAAAUCAUAGAAUUUGGAGAUUUUAGCAAUUGUUGCAACAUGUAAGUCUCAACAAAGUCAUCAACCCAGAACUAGUUGACUUCCCCCCACCAGAGUGAGUACGGAACAUGAAAACAGAGAUAGCUUGGGUGUCCUUGACAGAGUACAACUCAACCAACUUCUGCUUCAACUCAGCCUUCAACAAGAUAAUAAACAUAGAUAAGCAAAGAUAUCCUUAUUACUAAAACAUGUUUUAAAAUAUAUAUAUGUGUUCCUAUGAUCUCUUAUUUCGAUAUGCAGGUACUGAGAUAAAACAAAUACAAAAUUGUCGACGCUGGCAUUUGGCAUUUUUAAUGGAGAAGGAGCUUAUAUUGUUCUAGAACUCAUGUUUGGCUACACAAUACAUGAAUUGGUGAAAUUUAUGAUGUUGCUUGGCUGGGAGAUGAUAUUCAUGGUGCAACUUUGUCAAGUGAAACCUUAGACAUAGUAGAUGCAGCUUUCAUGUAUAAUGCAAUUAUGAACUACAAGAGCUGUUUGAUGUGUUAUUUUUGUAAUAAACUAUUUAAAUGUUUUAAAGUAGUACAACACUUUGCGGUGUGCUUGUUUUUGUUGUGCUUUCAGUUAGGUUACAUAUGUAUUUGUUUCA